rnacentral:rRNA from 1 species
CCUACGGGAGGCAGCAGUCGAGAAUCAUUCACAAUGGGGGAAACCCUGAUGGUGCGACGCCGCGUGGGGGAAUGAAGGUCUUCGGAUUGUAAACCCCUGUCAUGUGGGCGCAAAUUAAAAAGAUAGUACCACAAGAGGAAGCGACGGCUAACUCUGUGCCAGCAGCCGCGGUAAUACAGAGGUCUCAAGCGUUGUUCGGAAUCACUGGGCGUAAAGCGUGCGUAGGCUGUUUCGUAAGUCGUGUGUGAAAGGUGCGGGCUCAACCCGCGGACGGCACAUGAUACUGCGAGACUAGAGUAAUGGAGGGGGAGACGGAAUUCGCGGUGUAGCAGUGAAAUGCGUAGAUAUCGAGAGGAACACUCGUGGCGAAGGCGGGUUCCUGGACAUUAACUGACGCUGAGGCACGAAGGCCAGGGGAGCGAAAGGGAUUAGAUACCCUGGUAGUC